AAACACAACAGAACGCUGGGAAUGAGAGUAUCCUUGUUGUACUUGUUAUUGGAGAUACGUUCAAAUUGAUUGUACCAGAUCGCGUUUGCAUGGGAAUGGCAUGUGCUUUGUGGUUCGCAGUUCGCGGUACAGCGAACCAGGGAUCCCCGAUCCAAUCACAGCGUUCUAAUUCAUUGCCACCCAUCAGGGUCAGGGUUGCAUUAAGCUUGAAUUGUUAACGGUUAAUUCGCUCAGAGUCAAUAUAGUAGGAGGUGCCUUAUUAAAUAUAACAACAACAACAACAACAACAACAACAACUCAAAAUACAUUAAACAGAACCGAAGGCUCGCUGACACGAACAACACACGAACAGUUGCCCGAUUAACGGCUUUCCGAGACUCGUAUAUACGUCAGGAACGAACGAAUGCGUCAAUUGAGAGCGACGAGUUUCUCUCGUCAACUGGUUUUUGGGAACGAAUGAUUAUUAAUGCGUGCCAGUGAAGAGCCUACUCCCAGGUAACUUCUAUGCCCACAACACCCAGUUAUGUUUCUUCAAGACAGACGAAAGCCGCCGAGUGCCAGUCAACGAGCAGCGAGCAGCGAGCAGCGAGUAGCGAGUAACGAGUAGCGAGUAACGAGUGACGGGCUCACUGUAUCUUCCACUCAUGUUAACUGUAAUAAGCAUGAGAUACCGAGGUGAAUUUCAAUUUGUCUCCUUUUAUCUCUCUUUCUAUCUAACUGUCUCUUUCACUCCCUCCCUAUAGAUAUAUAUGUAUAAAUA